UUUCCCCCAUGAGCCUUCUAGAACUCUUAGAUCAUCGGGGGAGGCCCUGCUCUCGGUCCCACCAGCCUCGCAGGUAAGGCUGGUGGGAACGAGGGACAGGGCCUUCUCGGUGGUGGCUCCUCAGCUGUGGAACACCCUCCCCAGCAACAUACGGCAGAUACCAACUCUCCUAGGCUUCAGGAAAGCCUUAAAGACAUGGCUGUGCACACAAGUUUUUAAUGAAUAAGAACAUGGACUUUACAUGACCUGUACGAAGACUUGAGGAUUCUGGAUGAAUGGAUUUUAAUCUUGGACAUUCUUAAAAUUUUAUAUAAUGUGAUUUUAUUUUGUAAUGGUACCUGUUUUAUAUGAACUGUUGUUUUGUAGAUUGUUUUAUAUGAAUUGUUGUUUUUACAUUGUUUUUAGGCAUUGAAUUUUUGCCUAUUUACUGUAAGCCGCUUUGAGUCUCCUCGGAGAGAAAGGCGGGGUAAAAGUGAUGCAAAUAAAUAAAUAAAUAAAUAAAUAAAUAAAUAAAUAAAUAAUAUUACUCCCUUAUUGCAGAAAUAAAACGCAGGGAUUUCUACAAAAGAACAACAGCAUUUCUGCAAGAGUAUUUCACAAACCAUUGAAACUGUUUGAGAUACCAAAAAGAAAGUACAACAACCUCUCAUUCAUUCCAUAUAAUUUUCUGUUUUGUGAAGAAGGUAAUCAAAUGCCAGUUCAGUUGGAAUUUAAUGUGAGAAAUUUCUGCCUAUGGAGACACAGGCAUAUCCUGCAGCAGCUGAUGACCAAUAGCCUGAAUAAAUUGUUUAUAGGUUAUCUGUUCUUUGUUUCAUGCUGCUAAUCACGAGCUGAUAUACACAAGCUUUUAUUUCUAUCUGGAGAAUGUACCUUUGGAAAAUCAGCAGUUUGAACAAUACAAAAUCCAGAUGUCUGCUCAUCUUUUUAUGUUAAAUGUAGACACAUUUGGGACUGAAUAUGGUAUUUUAUAAUUCAAGAAACAUCACCUAUAUAAGUUUAAUAUUAAGUGA
rnacentral:lncRNA from 1 species